ACUGUCCAUCAUCUCCUUUAACCCUUAUACCUCAUCGCCGUUCGCCACCCACCGAAAAUCGUCAGCGGCGGCGGUUGGUCUCCAAACUCCAUCAAAUCUUGCCCACACAACCUCCAUUGUCCCCCCAUUCCAAAUCCACCAUUAUCUUCCUCAAAAAAUUACCAACCUCUCCGAAUUUCAAAUCUGAGAUUAAAGAAAGUCUAACAUUUUUUUUCCUUUUCUAAUUCCUUCCUCAUCUGGCCUCUUCUUGACGUUGGAGCAUGCAUGAAUCGACUAUCCUUACUGUGAGGAGUCGAUUGGAUAUGGUCCCAACUGGGUUCAUGGUGGCCGGAUUCUGGGCGAGCAACCAUCAAUGGCCCAAAAUAUUUAGAGCUUCUACUUCAUCGUCCUCUUGGCGUAUGUUGAGGAUUGUAACAUGAAGCACUAGCCGUUGAAGAAAUUCCGGCCAAUGAUCAUGUUACAAUUUCCAUAAUUAGCCAAGGCCUCUAUUCGCCGGAUUUGUAAUCAACUCGCUUUUGGUUUUCUUCGGGUCAUCGGAAUUUUUAGCAAACUGGCCGGUACCCCUUUUGAAUCCUUGGAUUGAAAAUGAAUCUGAAGAUGUAUGUGUGUUGAGGCUGAUGCACUAAUCAGUGUUUUUCUUCAGUAAAUGGUGUUUCAUGAGCUGAUUAACUUGUGCCUCCUUUUUUGUCAGUCAAUGUGUUGUUUUGCAUAUUAGUGGAUAUGGACAUGUAUUUAGUGUAUAGGCUUUCAUGUAAUGCUGAAUCUUUGAGCUGUUAAGUUGUGAUUUCAGUUGUUAGAUGUUGAAUUUGGCUAUGUUUAAGUUUGGUUGUUAGCUGAAUCUAUCAGAUUUGAUGGUAAAUAAAUAGAUGUUUCAGUUGAAAUUAUCCUUGAAUCCAUACAUGAGCAAUCAUCAGAACCCAGCCCUUUUUUUGUUGUAAAUGAAUGAUUGUGCCUGACACGUUUUCUUAGUCAAUCUAUCAAAUGUUCUUUUAAUAAGUUUGGAUUUAGGUAGACUAAGUCCAAAUCCCUUAAAAUUAAAAGCUGAGUCUCUACGUUUCUAAAUCUAUAGUUAGCAAUUUUAAUUCAAUGUUAUGUUUAGCUGUAAUUAAAGUUUGGAGUGUGAUUUGCAAAGCUUUUUUUGUGUUGUCAAAAAUUUCAAAUUUGUAAUAACGCCUUUUGAUGCUCAAAUUGAGCCAAAUAUUGUAAAAGGACCUCACAAGGGAGUCAUACAGGCCCAUCCAAUUUUCUACGGGCCAUUUGGACUUUGGAUUUCAUCCACUUAAGUCCAUCUGACUCACAAGCCUUUGGCCCAUUUCAUAGUUGUUAUUGUUUUGUAUCAUGUUAAGCCACCUUGAUUUCUAUUCAGCCAAUUCAUUAGACCAUGUACUCUAGUCGAACUCGUUUAAAUGGGUUUAUUAUCACAUUCAUUUCGUACUACAAUUUC